GACUGAUAUCGACCUAAAGUAUUUAAAAACACAAUUCUUUUCAAUCAAAAAGACGUCAGUAUUAUUGCUUUAUUUGAUAACAGAAAAUAGCUCUAAAUAUGAUGAGGAUCACAUAAGGUGCAUUUCUGCUUGAUGUGAUUCUAAUGUGCGGCAUGGCAUCCUAGAACCAGGCUGCAAAUGAUUGGUGUUGGCAGAGACAAAACAUGAGUUCGUGACUGAAUACGUUAACUUUGUACCUGAUUGUUACAUAGAGGCUCAUGAUCAUGGCUUCGAUUUCACAACUUUCAGAAGAAGAGAGAAAUUUCACCCGAUUUUUCCUGCUCAACUUUAAAGUAUCACCAGUCAUUACAAGGAGAUACUUUGAUGGAAUAUUUCCACCAGCAUACUUAGAUCAAACUAUUAAUAGAAAUAUGCCUGCCAUUCUCAGUUUAAACAAAUCAAAACGGAUCAAUGAUGUCCAACUAGAUUUACUAAGGGGUGUUCCAGGAACGGUAUGGCCAUCCUAUUUUCCUCCAAUGCCUGUUGGAACAAAUGGUAAAUACAUAUAAUAAAUAAUAGAGUCUAUAGUUUUACUUGUGUAUUCAGUCUGUUUGCAGAUACGUGUAAAUUUGAUCUAGGCACAAAUGAAAUCAUUACCUGUCAAUUAGCCACCGUCAGAAAAGGCAAAAUCGGC